rnacentral:rRNA from 1 species
GACGAACGCUGGCGGCGUGCCUAAUACAUGCAAGUUGAGCGCUGAAGGUUGGUACUUGUACCAACUGGAUGAGCAGCGAACGGGUGAGUAACGCGUGGGGAAUCUGCCUUUGAGCGGGGGACAACAUUUGGAAACGAAUGCUAAUACCGCAUAAAAACUUUAAACACAAGUUUUGAGUUUGAAAGAUGCAAUUGCAUCACUCAAAGAUGAUCCCGCGUUGUAUUAGCUAGUUGGUGAGGUAAAGGCUCACCAAGGCGAUGAUACAUAGCCGACCUGAGAGGGUGAUCGGCCACAUUGGGACUGAGACACGGCCCAAACUCCUACGGGAGGCAGCAGUAGGGAAUCUUCGGCAAUGGACGAAAGUCUGACCGAGCAACGCCGCGUGAGUGAAGAAGGUUUUCGGAUCGUAAAACUCUGUUGGUAGAGAAGAACGUUGGUGAGAGUGGAAAGCUCAUCAAGUGACGGUAACUACCCAGAAAGGGACGGCUAACUACGUG